rnacentral:ribozyme from 11 species
GAAGAAAAAUCUAGAAAAGAGAAAAGGAAGACAAAGAAAUUAAUACAGUCUGCAAGUCUUCGCUUUAUCUUCUCUUCCCUGCUUCCCCCCUUGUUUGUUUGUUCGCUUUCUCUUUCUUUUCUUUUCA